CAUUCUUCCUCUAAACCUAUGUGUUUAGCUUGCUUAAAAUCAUAAAUCAAAUGGCAUGUAAUGGCCUUGUUUGAUAACUUUUUUUAAUAGUCUUUUCCCCCCUGAAUGUUUCUUCUAGAGCACAUCAUGUAUCCCAAAGUUCACAUUGCACUAAGAAUGUUAGGUCAUCUUCGACUGGGCGUUGUUCGGAUAUAUUCAAAGAAAGUCAACUAUCUGUACCAAGACUACAAUUUUUUUCUGAUAACCAUGAGAAAAGCAUUUGCUUCUGUAGAAGUUAAUCUGCCAGAAGAUGCAACUCAUGCACCUUUUGACUCUGUCACUUUGCCAAAACGUUCAAACUUGAUGCCUUGAAUUUGGAUGAUGACUUCUCUUAUGACGGGUAAUUUUCUGGCUACGUAUUGCACUUCCGCCUUUCUUUGAAUCUAUAGAUAACACUCGAUUUUUAAUUCUCAGGGCUUGAGAUAAUCAUCUCCAGAGCGAGGUGGAGAUAGCACUUACAUGUGGGAGCAAUAAUGGGAUCGCUGAUAACUACUGUUGUCAUUGCUCUCAAGGAUUUGUAUGCUGAAUUUGUUUUGGAUGAACUGAAGAAGAGUGAGACGUAGAGCGCUGCUGGGCAUGCUUUUAGUGCUUGUUUCCUGAGAAAUGUUCAUCACUGCCUCAAAAACGCGUGUACAUUAUUGGUUGAGCUAAUUAGAACCCAAAAAAGAAAUAUCAGAAUUGUUUGUUUUAGAGUGGAUGUGUUUUUACCAAUCUGUUGACAGUGCAUUUAUCAAGUUUUGUUGGCUGCAUUUUCUCUUUAGGACAGUCUUUUUGUUUUUGUUUUUGUUUUUUUUUCUUCUAUUUGGUGUAAAAAGUAAUAGAUCAAUCAUGUACUCCCUUGGUUGUUGGUUGUGUGCUC